UGGACAGAUUAUUAUAUUCGCCUGUAUUCACGGCAUGAUACAAGGGAUUACACUAUUUUUAAAUGGAAAGUGAAUAAAUUAACAUAAUCGACUCCU
rnacentral:pre_miRNA from 1 species